CACGGGGGGAGCAAGCGUUGUCCGGAAUUAUUGGGCGUAAAGGGCGUGUAGGCGGCCUGGUCAGUCGAAUGUGAAAUCCCACGGCUCAACCGUGGAAUUGCGUUCGAUACUGCCUGGCUUGAGUAUGUGAGAGGUGUGCGGAAUUCCUGGUGUAGCGGUGGAAUGCGGAGAUAUCAGGAAGAACACCGAUGGCGAAGGCAGCACACUGGCGCAAUACUGACGCUGAGGCGCGAAAGCGUGGGGAGCAAACAGG
rnacentral:rRNA from 1 species